rnacentral:snoRNA from 1 species
AUCCCAUGGUGAGGGCAUUUGCGCAACAAUUCCUUAAACCUCUCUCAUGCCUCAUACAAAGAUUUCCCCUUAUGUUGUUGAAAUCUGGUGAUGUCAUUUCUAAACUU